AUUGAACGCUGGCGGCAGGCUUACCACAUGCAAGUCGAGCGAGCGGCGGACGGGUGAGUAAUGUCUGGGAAACUGCCUGAUGGAGGGGGAUAACUACUGGAACCGGUAGCUAAUCCCGCAUACCAUCAGAUGUGCCCAGAUGGGAUUAGCUAGUAGGGGGGGUAAUGGAUCACCUAGGCGACGAUCCCUAGCUGGUCUGUGAGGAUGACCAGCCAAACUGGAACGGAGACACGGUCCAGACGCCGACGGGAGGCAGCAGUGGGGAAUAUUGACAAAUGGGCGCAAGCCGGAUGAAGCCAGGCCGCGUGUGUGAAGAAGGCCUUCGGGUUGUAAAGCACUUUCAGCGAGGAGGCGUUACUCGCAGAAGAAGCACCGGCUAACUCCGUGCCAGCAGCCGCGGUAAUUC
rnacentral:rRNA from 1 species